rnacentral:rRNA from 1 species
AUGGUCAACACCACACGGGUGUACAGAGGCAAAACUUAUGGUGUUGCACCUAUGCGGUUGCCAAAGGGGACGAUGCCGGGUCGAGGCGAAAGACCGGCGACGCAGCUGCGGGCACCGGGAGGCGUGGCUCCAAUGGGCAGGGCCGGAGACGAGGUGCAGAAGGGCGGCGAGGGACUCAGCGACGGGGAUUGCCGGAAACUGCUGCUGGUGGCGCUUGUGGCCAUGGGACGCGGAAGCCAAGGUCGAAGGCGAGGCGCGCGGAAGGUCCGGGCGUGGCAUUGGCGAGUGGGUGCAGCAGCUGCUGCUGCUGCCGGCGGCAAGGUUGAGGUACUUGGUGGUGACAAAGAGAAACAGGAGGAGAGGCGCACGGGAGGAGGGAGUCCAUGGCAGAGGAGGGCGGCGUGGAAGGAACUAGCGCGGGGAGGUCCUCUCUUGUGCGCGAGCGAGGAGAGGGAGAGAUAUGGGGAACGGGCGCGGGGCCUCGCUCCUCUCCCUGGCUAA